UUCUCGCCCGUGAUCUGCGAGAAGUCCAUUGAACCUUAUCAUUUAGAGGAAGGAGAAGUCGUAWCAAGGUUUCCGUASGUGAACCUGCGGAAGGAUCAUUG
rnacentral:rRNA from 1 species